UACGAGGGGGGCAAGCGUUGUUCGGAAUUAUUGGGCGUAAAGGGUGCGUAGGCGGUUUGAUAAGUCACAUGUGAAAUCUUCGGGCUCAACCCGAAGUCUGCAUGCGAAACUGUCGGGCUUGAGUAUGGGAGAGGUGAGUGGAAUUUCCGGUGUAGCGGUGAAAUGCGUAGAUAUCGGAAGGAACACCUGUGGCGAAAGCGGCUCACUGGACCAUAACUGACACUGAGAGACGAAAGCCAGGGGAGCAAACGGG
rnacentral:rRNA from 1 species